CGAACUGGCAUCGGGCUAAUAUCUCGGUGUCUUGACGGUACUGCCUUAGCAAGCAUCGGCUAACUCUGUGCCAGCAGCCGCGGUAAGACAGAGGAUGCGAACGUUGCUCGGAUUUACUGGGCGUAAAGCGCGUGUAGGCGGUCUCGUUAGUCGGGUGUGAAAGCCCCGGGCUCAACCCGGGAAGUGCACCCGAUACUGCGAGACUGGGGUACUGAAGAGGAGAGCGGAAUUCCCGGUGUAGAGGUGAAAUUCGUAGAUAUCGGGAGGAACACCAGUGGCGAAGGCGGCUCUCUGGGCAGAUACCGACGCUGAGACGCGAAAGCGUGGGGAGCAAACAGGAUUAGAUACCCUGGUAGUCCACGCUGUAAACGAUGACGACUGGGUGUUGCAGGUAUUGACCCCUGCGGUGCCGAAGCCAACGCGUUAAGUCGUCCGCCUGGGAAGUACGGCCGCAAGGCUAAAACUCAAAGGAAUUGACGGG
rnacentral:rRNA from 1 species